AGAUUGAACGCUGGCGGCAGGCCUAACACAUGCAAGUCGAGCGGCAGCACGGGUACUUGUACCUGGUGGCGAGCGGCGGACGGGUGAGUAAUGCCUAGGAAUCUGCCUGGUAGUGGGGGGAUAACGCUCGGAAACGGACGCUAAUACCGCAUACGUCCUACGGGAGAAAGCAGGGGACCUUCGGGCCUUGCGCUAUCAGAUGAGCCUAGGUCGGAUUAGCUAGUUGGUGAGGUAAUGGCUCACCAAGGCGACGAUCCGUAACUGGUCUGAGAGGAUGAUCAGUCACACUGGAACUGAGACACGGGUCCAAGACUCCU
rnacentral:rRNA from 1 species